rnacentral:lncRNA from 1 species
AAAGGUCAGAAGUCACUAAACUGUAGUUUUAUGAAGAAUAUAAUUGCUCUGCUUCACUUUUAACAUUAUAAAGCUAUAAAGUGCAAGUCUCUUCACAAACCACCCUUUCCUGCAUUUCCUGAAGAUUUAUAUUGUAUGAGAAAUGAGCCUCAUCCUGGAGCACUGGGGAAUGAAGCUUACUUUUAACUCCAUGGCUUUGCAGCACACACAUCCUC